rnacentral:rRNA from 1 species
GAUGAACGCUGGCGGCGUGCCUAAUACAUGCAAGUCGAGCGAACAGACGAGGAGCUUGCUCCUCUGACGUUAGCGGCGGACGGGUGAGUAACACGUGGAUAACCUACCUAUAAGACUGGGAUAACUUCGGGAAACCGGAGCUAAUACCGGAUAACAUGUUGAACCGCAUGGUUUAACAGUGAAAGACGGUCUUGCUGUCACUUAUAGAUGGAUCCGCGCCGCAUUAGCUAGUUGGUAAGGUAACGGCUUACCAAGGCAACGAUGCGUAGCCGACCUGAGAGGGUGAUCGGCCACACUGGAACUGAGACACGGUCCAGACUCCUACGGGAGGCAGCAGUAGGGAAUCUUCCGCAAUGGGCGAAAGCCUGACGGAGCAACGCCGCGUGAGUGAAGAAGGUCUUCGGAUCGUAAAACUCUGUUAUUAGGGAAGAACAAAUGUGUAAGUAACUAUGCACGUCUUGACGGUACCUAAUCAGAAAGCCGCGGCUAACUACGUG